rnacentral:rRNA from 2 species
AGGAAUCUGCCUGGUAGUGGGGGACAACGUUUCGAAAGGAACGCUAAUACCGCAUACGUCCUACGGGAGAAAGUGGGGGAUCUUCGGACCUCACGCUAUCAGAUGAGCCUAGGUCGGAUUAGCUAGUUGGUGAGGUAAAGGCUCACCAAGGCGACGAUCCGUAACUGGUCUGAGAGGAUGAUCAGUCACACUGGAACUGAGACACGGUCCAGACUCCUACGGGAGGCAGCAGUGGGGAAUAUUGGACAAUGGGCGAAAGCCUGAUCCAGCCAUGCCGCGUGUGUGAAGAAGGUCUUCGGAUUGUAAAGCACUUUAAGUUGGGAGGAAGGGCAGUAAGUUAAUACCUUGCUGUUUUGACGUUACCAACAGAAUAAGCACCGGCUAACUUCGUGCCAGCAGCCGCGGUAAUACGAAGGGUGCAAGCGUUAAUCGGAAUUACUGGGCGUAAAGCGCGCGUAGGUGGUUCGUUAAGUUGGAUGUGAAAGCCCCGGGCUCAACCUGGGAACUGCAUCCAAAACUGGCGAGCUAGAGUAUGGCAGAGGGUGGUGGAAUUUCCUGUGUAGCGGUGAAAUGCGUAGAUAUA